GGGUUGUGAGGUUAAGCGACUAAGCGUACACGGUGGAUGCCCUGGCAGUCAGAGGCGAUGAAGGACGUGCUAAUCUGCGAUAAGCGCCGGUAAGGUGAUAUGAACCGUUAUAACCGGCGAUUUCCGAAUGGGGAAACCCAGUGUGAUUCGUCACACUAUCAUUAACUGAAUCCAUAGGUU
rnacentral:rRNA from 1 species